CUGCCGCGUGACGCCCUUCCUCCUCCUUCCUUCCUCCUCUAGCCAGACCAGAGCAGCACCUCCAACUCGCCGCCUGUCGCCUCCCCCCCCUCCCCCCGAAAUCCCUCUAAAUCCGGCGAUUUUUGGUGGGGAAAUUGGGGGAAUCGAUCUCCGCAUCCUUGGGAAGGUGCGAUGAUGGCGACCGAGUUAGAAUACAAGCGGUGCACGGGGUACAUGCAGUACCCAGGCCAUCCUCUGCAGAGGAAAUUAAGGUUAGAAGAAAGAGAAGCAAGAAAGCACAGCUGGAGCUUGGAGCACCUUUUAUCUUCAUCAGUG